ACGGAGGGUGCAAGCGUUGAUCGGAAUCACUGGGCUUACAGCGCAUGUAGGCGGUCCGGCAAGUCUUCUGUGAAAUCCCCCGGCUCAACCGGGGAAUUGCAGGGGAAACCGCCGCUCUUGAGGCAGGUAGAGGUGACCGGAACGUGUGGUGGAGCGGUGAAAUGCGUAGAUAUCCGGAGGAACACCAGAGGCGAAGGCGACACCCUGGGCCGUACCUGACGCUAAGACGCGACAGCACGGGGAGCGAACGG
rnacentral:rRNA from 1 species